UACAGAGGUCCCAAGCGUUGUUCGGAUUCACUGGGCGUAAAGGGUGCGUAGGCGGUCGGGUAAGUCUGACGUGAAAUCCCGCAGCUCAACUGCGGAACUGCGUCGGAUACUAUUCGGCUUGAGGAAUGGAGGGGAGACUGGAAUUCCCGGUGUAGUGGUGAAAUGCGUAGAUAUCGGGAGGAACACCAGUGGCGAAGGCGACUACCUGGCCUGUUUCUUGACGCUGAGGCGCGAAAGCUAGGGGAGCAAACGGG
rnacentral:rRNA from 1 species